rnacentral:lncRNA from 1 species
AAGCAUCAGGUCCUUCCUCUCCCUCUCGGUUCCACACUGCAACACAAAAAGGAGAUUUUCAACUAUCAGACAACUCUCAGUCGACACCCCUAACCCUCACCCUCUGCUCCUCUCUCGUGACCGAGCAUCGGCGAUCGGAGAGCUCCGACCGACCACCGAUCUUCUUACACCUCCUACAAACCCCCAAACACCCACCUGCCACCCCCUGCUUUCUGUUCGGUCACCGGAGAAGCCACGGACCGCCGGUCAUUUCGUUUAUCCGAUGGUCCGUUCCGUCAAUAAACCGACACCCAUAACCACCACAUCACAAACAACCCACCCCCCUUCGAUUGACGGCCGGCCACCACUGUGGUGGCGGCGCACGGUGGUGUUUCCGACGAGACGGAGCGAUCGAGAAGACUAAGAGAGAGAGAGAGGAGAGAGAGAGAGAAAGGCCAGCAGACCGGCGGACGGAGACUCGGUCCGGCGGUCGACGUCAAGGACCGGCGGUCUGUGUCUUGGUUCGACGGAUUCACGACGAUAAAGAUGGUGGUGGUGCUAUUUCAGCUUAACUCGGUUCGACUCGGUGUAUUUCAGCUCGACUCAGUCCAACUCGGCUCGACUCGGUUCUAUACGACUUGACUCAGUCCACAUGAGUCGACCCGGUCAACUCAGUCAACGUUUCGAUAUGAGGAUUUGGUAAAGAUUUUACGGCACGUUUAUUUCAAUAUCUUUAUUUUUUUUAUUAUUACCGUGCAAAAGGAGCUCGAACCGAAUAAAAUGGCGAAAAUAUUAGUUAAAGUUACUUGGUCUUAUUUACCGUAUUGUCUAUAUAAAUUGAUUACACAUAUACAUUGUUUGAGUUUUGAUUGAAUAUUGAUAAAAUAACGACAACUCGUGUUGUCGG